rnacentral:rRNA from 1 species
CCUACGGGAGGCUGCAGUGGGUAAUAUUGGACAAUGGGGGCAACCCUGAUCCAGCCAUGCCGCGUGUGUGAAGAAGGCCCUCGGGUUGUAAAGCACUUUCAGUGAGGAAGAACGCCUGGUGGUUAAUACCCAUCAGGAAAGACAUCACUCACAGAAGAAGCACCGGCUAACUCCGUGCCAGCAGCCGCGGUAAUACGGAGGGUGCGAGCGUUAAUCGGAAUUACUGGGCGUAAAGCGCGCGUAGGUGGCUUGAUAAGCCGGUUGUGAAAGCCCCGGGCUCAACCUGGGAACGGCAUCCGGAACUGUCAAGCUAGAGUGCAGGAGAGGAAGGUAGAAUUCCCGGUGUAGCGGUGAAAUGCGUAGAGAUCGGGAGGAAUACCAGUGGCGAAGGCGGCCUUCUGGACUGACACUGACACUGAGGUGCGAAAGCGUGGGUAGCAAACAGGAUUAGAUACCCUUGUAGUC